AAAAGAAACCAACAGGGAUUGCCUCAGUAACGGCGAGUGAAGCGGCAAGAGCUCAACUUUGGAAUCGCUCCGGCGAGUUGUAGUCUGGAGGUGGCCACCACGAGGUGUUCUAGCAGCAGGCAAGUCCUUUGGAACAAGGCGCCAGCGAGGGUGACAGCCCCGUACCUGCUUUUGCUAGUGCUUCCUGUGGCCCACCGACGAGUCGAGUUGUUUGGGAAUGCAGCUCUAAGUGGGUGGUAAAUUCCAUCUAAGGCUAAAUAUUGGCGAGAGACCGAUAGCGAACAAGUACAGUGAUGGAAAGAUGAAAAGCACUUUGAAAAGAGAGUGAAACAGUACGUGAAAUUGUUGAAAGGGAAGGGCUUGCACCCAGACACGGUUUCGGCCGGGCCAGCAUCAAGUAGAACGGGGUUAAAAGACCUGGGGAAUGUAGCUACCUCUUGGUAGUGUUAUAGCCCUUGGGUGAUGACCCCUGUUUUGCUUGAGGACAGCGGUCUCUAGGAUGCUGGCGCAAUGGUUGCAAGCCAC
rnacentral:rRNA from 1 species